AACCCGGUAUGUAGACUUUUCAUGUGUGACAGAUUUUCACAUCAUAUACACAUUAUCAACUAGUGUUCAUCUUAAGUUUAAAUCAAACACUUUGAUAACGUCACAGUCCCCCAGAGCAACAAACAGAUGUGAUGAUCUUUGGUCGAAGUACAAACAUGUAAACUCGCCUUUCAGCUCUUUUUGUUGUAUGAGAACUCGUUUAUCCUUAAAUGUUUGUAUAAAGACAUUUCCUGUGGAGCCUUCUCCAAUACAUAUUUGGUCGGUACCUAUUUGACAGAAUGGUAAGUCAACAUUAAGAUCAGUUGGAAAUUGAUGUUUGAUAGCACAAUCUACACCUCUAGCCUGUACACCUUUAUGAGCGUCAGCGGUAUACAAUAUAGUGCUGGAUCCACUUUUGUUUACAUUAAUAUAUUGUGGACAUCCAAAUUCUUCAUACAAACACCGUAGUAGAUCUCCGGUACAAUUGUAUACCUCCACAUGACCACGCCCUUCUUUACGAACUGCAUGUCCACCACAGCACACAUACAGCAAACCAUCACAAUGUGCCAAACCCCGACAUCUAUCACCAACAGAGAAGCGAUUUUGGAAUUUAACUUGGCCAGAAAGUGAUACAAAUUGUAUCUCCUUUUGGUUGAUUAGAGCCACAGCGAGGCGAGUGUUGUCAACAAGACAGAGGUCACCAG
rnacentral:sRNA from 1 species